rnacentral:sRNA from 1 species
CCCUAGCCCCGAUUGCAGUGAAAAUCCUUUUUUUGCUGUUGAAAAUCCCUCUCCCGAAGAGAGGGAUUUAGGUGCGGAGAAAAAAGAUUGCAACGGAAAGCGGGAAAUUGC